ACUUUACAAGUGAUCUAAUUGUAACAAUAUUUUUUUUCUGUUUUUAAAUUUAGUUUGUCCCACAUGAUUUUCCCCAGAGGAAAAACAAUACUUUUAUAAUGGUCAGUGGGGAAACAAAUACAUGUGCAGGAACCGUUACUCUCUGGUCAGCUUCUCCAGAACGCAGUGGGCAGAGGCCACACAUGUUACGUCUCUUGCGUCCUAAUAAGGUGUUCCCUCCACUUGGGCUUCAGACAGUGGCGAGUUAUUUUGCUUUAUUUAUCCUGUCACCCUGGUUUGGAGGGGCGGACUGGUGCUGCAGAAACAUUUCUCAUAAGUACUAUUUGAACUUAAAAAAAAAUCAGAUACCUGAGUUUGAAGGCGGUUGCUGUUUGUGAUAUCCGAGAACGGCAAAAAACUAAAGGGCUAAGAACUGGGUAUGCCUUGAUUCACAAGAGGACUGGCUGGACCGUUUGGUGGCAGAGAAUUUCUGUUCAGAGCUCCAGGCCUUCUCUCCCGGCUGCGUCAGGAAGCAGCUGCUGGUGUGUGAGUUUUGAAACGUGGCACAGCUCCCCCACAGAGGCAUACAGACUGGUCCCUCAGGGUCUGAUCUUGGAGCUCAGAGGUGAUGCUCUUAACAGACGUGGACUUGGCCAAGGGAACCCGUGUAAGUUUCAGGAGCCCGGCAGUCUCUGGUCUUGAUUAGCUCCUCUUGGUGUGGCUGGGACUUCACAGCACCCGGCGGGGCCACCUCGGGCGGGAAUCCGAGUCUCUGCACUGUGGCGUUGCCUCCCAGACGAAGCUGAGAACCAGUCUUCUAGAGAUUCUAAGACGCACAACAGUGGACUUACUGUGUCCUAGAAUUGUUGUUCUACAUCUGUAUGAAGCUUUUUGUAAGGUCUUGUGUAAGCUGUUAAAUUUUACCUGUUGGCGGACUGAUGGUCCUUAUACUGGAGGUAGAUGCUGGACUGAUCAUUUGCGUCUGACUUUCUUGUUUACAAAGUGAGUGUGUGGCAGCUUCGAAACCUGGGACUUAAUCCAGCUGACGCUGGCUUCAGCAUACUGACCAUGGGACCUGGCAGGAUUCCGUGUGCCCAGGACGAGCCGGCACAGGUGGUGAACGCUGGCAUGAGUGACCCGCGGCGCCUGCUGCACGGCCAGUCUGCAGACAGAGCCACCGUGCAUCCAGCCUCUGGAAGGUACUCCUGACGGAUGUUCAGAAAAGCAUUUACCUCACCUGCUUUGUUACCUUUUAUAUUGAACAAGCGUCAUACACUCACAGCAAAGUGUCAUCAAUAGCAUUAAACUCCAGAAGUUUUAGCAUAAGCUGUGUCUUGCGCGUCCUGUUCAAUAAGAGGCCCUGAGCUUUGGUGCCCUCACCCCUACGUCCAGAUGCAUGCGAGGGAGGGAGCGCCAUGCCUCGCCCUGCAGGCACUCUUGACCUCAGAGGGGAAGGUUGGGUGAUGGGGGUGAGGGAGGUUGUCCAGGCAACCUGGAGUGUGCAUCCAGAUCCUGCUUCACUUGGGAAAUGUGCCAAUGACGGGGCCGUCGGGCAUUAGUAGAAUUUCACUUCCCUGGACUUGGGGUCUCGGGUGCUUGAAACCUAGUUACUCUGAGGACAUAGAAUCUUUCCCUACUGCCAGGAUUCAGGAACUGAAAGGAUUAUGUAUAUACCAGCCUUGCUAGUGUUUUACGUGAAAUCUUUAUCACUUACUUUGAAAAGUGAAAGUGCUUUCUAGACCUAAAAUUUGUGAAUGCCAAAUAUUAGCUUUGCGUUGCUUCUAUUUUUUUACAGAAAGAGGGUCUACUUGGUCAUUUCAGUAGGUAGAGGGACAUCUGGAAGUGAAGACCUUUCUAUUCAAAAAGAAAUAGCUGAAUAAUUUCUAUUCGAAAUGAUCUUUUGUCUGUUUUCAGCUCUAUUUCUUGUCACUAUUUUUUUGAACAUGUAGUGUAAGUAUUGUAAACUGUUUUAAGUUUAAUUGAAGUUAUUAAACUUCCUGAACUCUUAAUGAUA